AAGCCCCUCAGUUUUUGGCAACAGGGGGUUCGAUAGUGAGUUAAAUACUGCACUACAUGGAAGAAAGGUUUAAAUCUUUUCUAAAUUUGUGGGGCACAAUGACAGGAAACAGGUCAGGCUUUGGGCAAGUUUGGGUACCACACGCGAGGUCACAAGGUUGGGGGCAAUGCUACUGUAGUUCUGGAGAUUGAAGGGAGUGUUGGGUGUGAUGUAGUGGCAGCAUCAGGUGUGAAGGUCAUGGAAUUGUCUGGUUGCAUUCCUGGUGCGGCCAGACAGAAUGCUCAUGUGCUUAUGUAUCUUUUUCAGGGGAUUCUGGCGAUCCAUUUAAAACAAAAGAUGUAAGAAAAAAUUUGGAAGAGUGAGUUUUGGGAAUAUAUUCUCUUGCUUUUUUGCAUUCUUACGUUGUUCAGUUAUCUAGACUUAAGUUUUUUUUUAGCUACUCAAAGGUAGUCAAAGCAAGUGGGACAGCGGCUGUAAGUUCAAGCACAAGUGCCCUGGCUUUAGGGAAGCUCACAGACUCAGCAGGUUCUUCAAGUGGGGUAAGACCAAUUCCACCACUGGCUCAUCUAGCUCUGUGGAAGCUCACGUUGACUCAGGGGUAAAAUCAAGUGAAGUUAGGCGCAAUGCUACCCUGGCUAAGCCACUAUGCUAAUCAUGAAGUGAAGAGGUGCAUGUUUGUUAAGGGACCAUUUUGCACUUUCGUGCCUUGAAUUCAGUUUUGGAGUUCCCGCAGGUGGUUAGGGACAAUUUGUUCAAGGAGGUAUGGCUAUGUGGGAUGACAGGGCUGUUUGAGCUGUUCCUAUUGGAAAAUCUCAGAAUCUUAUUAGGGGUUGUGCUGAAGAAGUUGACUAGAAAAUACAGACUUAUCCACUAUCUGUCUCCUCCUAAAGGGUCAUCAGUAAAUGAUGGUAUUGAUGGCGGUCAAGUUGGUUAAGAGGUCUGGCAAAAAACGCUCUGUUGGCUAAGGCAGCUUUUACCCAUUCAUCCUUUUUGCCGUAAUUUAUUAGGAUGUCUAUCGAUGGGAUGCUUCAUCUCAUGUGCUUAUUUAAAAAUGUUCAGCACUUAGUUAGUGAGGAAGCUGGUAGUAAAUUAGCUUUGUGUGCGCCCUUCUGAUUCAAAUUCUUGCCUAUACGUGAAUGUGGGAAUGGGUAGCUCAAUUGUUCGGUGUAAUAUUGGAGGCUGACAAAACAGAGGGCCCAGCUACAUGUUCUUCAAGUGGGGUAAGACCAAUUCCACCACUGGCGCAUCUAGCUCUGUGGAAGCUCACGUUGACUCAGGGGCAAAAUCAAGUGAGGUUAGGCGCAGCUACAUGUAUAACUUUCUAGGGUUGGAGAGGGGUGGGUAUAGGCUUCCUGUGGACAAAGUAAUUGCAUUGCAGUAGGUUGUGGUAAAGGUAAACAAAGCCAGGAAGGUGACAUUGAGGCAACUACAAUCUUUGAUUGGCCGUCUUAACUUUGGGUUACCCUGAUGGGGCAAUUUUUUAACAGGUUUUUGGGUAAGCCUACUUGUGGGAAUGAAUCGACUCAUCACUUUAUUCAGGGUCACUGCUGCUAAGGAGGCAGAGGUGGAAGUAUGGGAAACCUUUCUUUAUCUGGAUGGUGUUUUCAGAAAAGUGGUGGUUUUCCUGAGGAGCUUGAGCUCUUUAUUAAGACUUUAGGGAGCGUGGGCUUUGGGGCUUAUUUUGGAGGUCAUUGAUGUGUAGAGGUCUGAAGAGUAGAAAAUAAGCACACUCAUCUGUAAACUAGCAUUUUUCGGGUUGUUUCCAUUGGUGGUGGUACUUCCAUUGUGGGUUGAGCAGUUGAGGCAUAGAAAAGUUAUAUUCUUCCCUUACAAUAUGUCGGUUGUUCUCAUGGUUAAUAACCUGUUUGCUUCUUCGAUGCUGGUGGUGCAUGGACAUGUGCAUACAAAAAAAAAUAGAAACAAAAACAAACAAAAAAAUAUGAAUACAUAAAUAAAUAAACAUUCUAAGUAUGAAGUAUUGUUAUUUACUUGAGCUUUUGUGUUUGCUUCCUUAGGGUUGGUUGCAUGGUUGGUGGGCCAUUCGUAUGUACACUGGGCAAAGAAGAGAGCUGCAGUUGGGUUCCAAAGUUAGCAGCUGGGAUUUCCGGUGGACCAGGUUACAUUGGUGUGGCUCCAGUUUUGUGGUAUCAGGUGGAGAGAGCUGUGUCGGUAGAUGUUUCACAGGUUGGAUGAGGUAGGGGUCCCCAUAUUUUGUUUUAUUUCAUGCAGAAGGUAAAGACCUGGGCAGGUGCAAAAGCUGGAGUUGGUUAAACAAAUGAAAAGGGAUGUGAACCAAUUGCGUGAGUUAGUGGCAGUUGUAGUGGUUAUUUGGUAGAAAAUAUUUAUUCGGUUUCCCUGGAGGUAUGCUUAACAUCAAUAAAUUGAUAGCGGGUGAUUGGGCACCUGGGGCUGGAAUCAAUGUUGCCAAGUUAUUUUUUGCAUGGAUGGGGUGCAUCUUUUCAGAUGUUGGUCUCCACCGUUUCAAUGUGGGAUUACAGGAAGGCUUGGCUGGGACAUUGUAUAGUGGUGGUGGUCAGAUAUCUUAAGGGGUCAAGGUCUGAGCUGUGGCAGGGGACUGGAUAGGUAAAUUGGGAGGUGGAAUGGGUUGUUAUUAGGGAUUGAAGUAAUUAUGUGGUUUUAAAAGCUGGUAUGUGGUUUAAAAGUUGGUAUGGUAGGUUUCGAGCUGGCCUGUGGCUCAGAACCUGGGGGUGUAGGGGUAUCUUGGUAUACCCUUAUAUUUGCUCAUUCUGGCAAGUUGGUAUGGUAGGUUUUGAGCAGUCCUGUGGCUCAGAACCUGGGGGUGUAGUGGUAUCUCGGUAUACGCCUACAUUGGAUCAUUCUGACAAGUUGGUGUGGUAGGUUUUGAGCUGACCUGUGGCUCAGAACCUAGGAGUGUAGGGGUAUCUCGGUAUACUCCUACAUUGGAUCAUUCUGACAAAUUGUUUGCACUUUAUUAUGUUUCAUUAUGUUACUUAUGUUGUUAUAGUCUUAUGAUGUUAUUCUGAUAAUAUUGGGGUCAUUGUCAUUGUAAUGUUGUUGUUUUUUUUUCUUUUUUUGCCUAAAUAUAUUAUGCCUAAAAUUGGUGUUUUACAAUAUCAUUGGUUGAUUUGGAAAGAGGGGGUAUUUGAAUUGUUCAAAGUAGCGUAUAAUUGAAUUUGACAUCUACUGAGCUGGGUUUGAAUCUUGGGUCCACAAUCGAUACCAUAUUGAAUUGUCUUAGUUACAGGAAAUAGUAUAUACUAAUAUUGAUUGAAAUAAAACUAUAACCACGUCAAGUAGCAAGAAGCCAGGGUUUGUAUUUCGGUCUCAGUGAUUCUUUAUGGUAUCAUCUAAGUGAGUCUGGUGUUAUGUUUUAUUAUCUCUUAAGAUAAAAAUCCAAUCUUGUAAUAAGAGAUGCAGCAGAAAAAGCAGGGAUACAUUAAUACUAUACAUGGUAUUUGUAUGUUUGAAAGCAGAUUAAAAUUUUAUUAUUGCAGAUUUAACAUUGCAGCUUUCAAAAGGAUCUCUAAACUGCUUAACAGAUCACAAAGAAGGACCAGAGUGCUUUACAAAAUAAUAGAGAUGUGUUCAUAAAUUUACUCUCAUAAAUAAAAUCUGUGAUUUAAUUCUCAAAUAUAUAUACUUUUGUCAGUCUACCUUUGCGCAUUACCAACCUCUCUAUCAUAUUUUUCCUGCAUACUAAAAUGAAACGUUUUCCUUGCACAUAAACCAGUUACUCUCUCAAAGGUUUUUAUAACAGAAUGUUUUGCUUGGAUUUGUACCUUAAACUGUCAUUUUAAAAAAAAAAAAAUUAUGUUUAGUGAACCACAUCUAAAAAAAAUCUAAUUUUUUUUUACAGGGUUACUGCAAGCAGGGG